GUCAUGCCCAUGAGGAGUUCGGCAUUGCUGUAUAUUAUUUUCUCGAGAAUGCUUCGCAUCUCGAAAAUAAAAGCAAACAAGCCGAACAUUUAAUAAUAAAAUGGAAGUAUGAAAAGGUCUCAAUUCCUAUUGAGCACAGGGUUUGAAAAACCUCUUUUAUAAAACGUCAUUUCUAUAUCUUGGUUAAAACUAAAUUUUCCUAUAAAAUUCAAACCUUGUGUAUAUAGGUGCGUACGAGGCCUCGCACUACUUUCAAAUAACUGCACAUUGAUCCACACACACACACAAACACACACAUUCAUAUAACAAUUUCUUUAAAAAGUGGCGGUCACCGUGGUAACACGGAUGUCAGGGGGUGCCUAACACCUUCCCUCCGCAUAAUCAAGCCCCCGGAUCCAAAAUGAAUCUCAGUUUCACAGACCCGUCUAGCAGUGUUAAAACACUGGGUCAAUGUGCAAACCUUUUCGGUUGCGUUGGUGCAACCAGUUAAAUACACCAACUAGCGACUCUUAAAGUCAAAUCGUCGACAUUAUACAUGUCGGAUCUUUUUCAUUUGUUUUUUCAAAUAAAUCUCACAUUAACAUGAGAACACCAAAGAACAAGUAACGAAAAGGGACACUCAAAAAUCCCGACGUCGACAAUUAUUGGUUCAAUAAUAUGAGAUAUUGUGACAAGUAUUGAGACAUCCCUAAAUCCAUAUAUUGACUACAAUGGACUGAUGCUCACAUUCAACACUAAGUAUAAAUAUUAUAUACUCACAAUAUUAACAACCAGAUUGUAAGACCCCAACUUUUUUUUAAUAAAGAUGAUUUUUCUAUAAAUAUUAUUUUUAAAUAUUAUGGAAUGAAUUUGAUAUAAUGUUAUAGUUGUUGGUAAUAUUUAUAAAUUUUGUAAAGUACACAAGUUGUUAUAUAAUAUUCGAUUGGUCAGGGAAUAUUCAUUUUAACAGAGAAUAUUCGUACGACGGCACAAUCAUUGGUGGACCCCACAACGGAAUUAUUGUUAGAUUGAGAAAACGACAAAAAUAUUUUAUGAAAAUAACAGCGGAAGUUUUACCGUUAACUGUUGAAACACCCGGUGUUAAAAGUACAGGAAUAUGCGUGGUUGCAUAGCAGCACACAGUAUUGAUUAUUGAUGCUUUCAUGAGAAGUCACUCAGUUUUGUUCAAUUAUUGCUUCAGUAAUUGUUGCAUAGUAUCUCACGUUAUUUGAUUCAAUUAUUGUCGAUAUUUUUUAUAUUAUUAAAUCAAUAAUUGAGAUGACC
rnacentral:lncRNA from 1 species